GGAAGAGAAAUAUAACACUAGAUAGUUCAUGUAUUAUGUGAUGACAGCCUAAAGCCUUCUGGAUGCACCAAUACCAUAGCACACAGACUCAGGUGCAGCAUAAGGAAUUCCUGGCUGAGCAGAAAAUGAUCAGUGCUAUUGCUUCUUCCCAACUCUUUCUAUGCUGUGUAAAAUUAUGACUUUUCUCUUGACUUUUGAGGUGAUCGCUGCUGGAACUUUACAAGCCAUCUUCAUGAAGCUUUGAUGCAAAAGAAAGUUGAAACCUAUUAUAAGCUACCAAGUUGAGAAGGGAGAUGAAAUGCCACCACUCAUCAAAGCCAUUGAGAAUUGUACAAUUUGAAAGGGUGUUUGGCUGAAUUCAACACAAUUCUGGAAUACAAGAAAAAUUAAGGACACUAUCAAAUAGUUUUUCUGCAAAAUUAUGGGAUGGAUCUAUGUUGUAGAACACUGGUAUCACCAUCUGUCCUUGGGUUUUUUGUUUUUCUUACUUCACCAGAAAAAAGACCGAGGACUGAUUGUGAUACCAGUGUUGUGCAACGUAGGUCUAUCCCAUGCAAGAAAGCAGACAGGGACCACCAGCAAGCCUUUGCAAGACAUUAGGGAGAACAGGGUGCACCAAAUGGAAAGUUGUUCUCACUGAAGUAGCCAAUUUAACUCUAAGUUGAAACCUGUAUAGACUACCAAAUUGAAAAGGAAGAUGAAAUGUCACCUGCACUCAUUGAAGCCAUUGAAAAUUCUCAUGUAUCUAUUAUCACCUUCUCAUGGAACUAUGAUUCCUCUAAGUGGUUCUUGGUUGAACUUAACAAGAUUUUAGAAUGCAACAAAGACCAAGGACACUGUACAAUGUGUAGGUCAUUCCUGCAUUCUUGAAUCUUGCUGAGUUACUAAGGAGGCAAGGACAAAUUGUGAUACUAGUGUUCUACAACAUAGAUCCAUCCUAUGUGAUAAAGCAGACUAGAAGCUAUAAGCAAUCAUAUGAAAAUCAUGAGGGAGAACCGAGGUGAAACAAAUGGAAAGCUGCUCUCGCAGAAGUAGUCAAUAUAAUAUCUGGGUAGAACUAUCAAAUAGGUAAAUAAAAUGAAUUGAGUGGGUAAAUUUUCUUCAAAAAAAAUAAAACAAGAUAAUGUAUUGUUUUAAAUUUAGUUGGCAAAAUUUUAUGCAAAAUUCAACAAGAUAAGGAUGAUAAAAUUAUGAUACAGAAGUUAAUAGUGAUAGAGACUAUAGUUGUUUCCUUCUUUUGUGUACGCUCGUGCAAUUCAAUUGCUGCUUUGCAGUGAAGUUUCAUUAUCCAUAA